rnacentral:rRNA from 1 species
UAGCAUAAUGAUUUGUCUUUUAAUUGAUGACUAGUAUGAAAGGUUAAACAAACAGUAGUGUCUUUGUAGGAUAUGGUAAUUUGGACUCUGAGUAAAAAUACUUUGAUGGGCCUAAGGGACGAUAAGACCCUAAAAGCUUUAUUUUAUGGGUGCCGGUUUUGGUAAGGUGUGUUUUGAAUUUAGCUGGGGUAGUAGUUAUGUUGAGUCUGUGGUUUAAGUGGGUCAAGAGAGUGGUCUUUUAUAUGAGGAGAAAUCGAGAGAGUUACUUUAGGGUUAACAGCGCGAUAUUUUCAGAGAGGCCGUAUCUAUGAGGGUGAUUGUGACCUCGAUGUUGAAUUAUAAUUUCUUUUUGGAGCACUGGCUAGAAGAGAGGGUUUGUUCAACCCUUAAAAUUUUACAUGAUUU